GUAGGAUAGGUGGGAGGCUUUGAAGCGUGGACGCCAGUCUGCGUGGAGCCAACCUUGAAAUACCACCCUUUAAUGUUUGAUGUUCUAACGUUGGCCCCUUACCGGGGUUGCGGACAGUGUCUGGUGGGUAGUUUGACUGGGGCGGUCUCCUCCCAAAGCGUAACGGAGGAGCACGAAGGUUAGCUAAUCCUGGUCGGACAUCAGGAGGUUAGUGCAAUGGCAUAAGCUAGCUUGACUGCGAGCGUGACGGCGCGAGCAGGUGCGAAAGCAGGUCAUAGUGAUCCGGUGGUUCUGAAUGGAAGGGCCAUCGCUCAACGGAUAAAAGGUACUCCGGGG
rnacentral:rRNA from 1 species